GAAAUGCGAUAAGUAAUGUGAAUUGCAGAAUUCAGUGAAUCAUCGAAUCUUUGAACGCACAUUGCGCCCGGGAGCAUUCUCCCGGGCAUGCCUGUUCGAGCGUCAUUUCAACCCUCGACCUCCCCUUGGGGAGGCCGGCCGUUGGAGAUCGGCAGCGAUUGCCGGCUCCCAAAUUCAGUGGCGACCCGCCGCGGGGACCCCUGCGCAGUAACAUACACUCGCACCGGAAACCAGACGUGUCACGCCGUAAAACCCCAACUUUCUGAACGUUGACCUCGGAUCAGGUAGGAAUACCCGCUGAACUUAAGC
rnacentral:misc_RNA from 1 species